CUCUUGCUGCUGCUUCUCUUGCUGCUGUACAAUGCUCGCUCCGGGCGCUCAUUCGUCAUCGUCUACAACAUGGCCUACAAUACUGAGAUCCUUCUGGCUCUCGUCAGCCUCAGAGUCACGAUCCGCUGGCUACUACUACUGCACCCCAAGUAUCCAAAGUCCAACGAGUUCGUCGCAAUGAUCAGCUUCUCCUCGAUCGUCAUCGCCGAGUCGAGCUUGUUCCUGUGCAUCCGCGGCUGCUGGGAGAUCAUAUCAGUGAGGUACAAGAAGGCGAAGAAGAACAGGGACCGACCGAGAUUUCUCCUGGAAACUAAGUCCAAGUUCUUCGUUGCCGUGUACGAGACGACGUUGAGAGAUGGAGCCAUCAAGGGGCUAAGGAUGAACUUGGUCGACUACGUCGCGAACGAGUUCUUGGAAUCGAGAGGCAACCGGGAGCUGAGGAAAAGCUUGUUGAUGCUGGAUGCAGUGUGCCACUGGGAAGAAGAAGAUCAGAGAAAGCGAAGUGGGAAGCUCCUCUUGGCAUCUAAGCGUCAAGUUGUGGAGCGGCUGUUCGAGUGCAUGGGCGACAAGUACUAUCUCAUCUACCGGCGAGCGGCGAUUUCUCUAGUGGCCGAGAUCUGCGAAGAUGAAAACGCCUUCUUCGCUGUGGCACACGUCGUCCAGGCCAGUGAUGAAGGCGUCUCGCUUCUGGUGAAAGCGCUGGAGCCGGAUACCAACAAGUCGGUGCUGGAGCUGCUAGGAAAGCUUGCGGCAUUUGGAGGGAUUGCCAAUGCCGAGCCGGGUGUGAUCGCGAACUUUGAUUUUGCGCAAGGGGAUAUGGACAAGAAGUGGAAGGAUUCUCUCAGGAAUGGCGAAUGGAUCAUCUCCAUCGAUGCAGGAGAUGAUCCAGCCCGGGUUGAUGACGAGCCAGAGAUCCAGAGCUCCAAGCAGAAGAUCGCAGCGAAUUUGAGGACGCUACUCAGGAAGAAUCACGACUUGACAAGGUACCUCGCGAAUGCUCUCUUUUGUUCCUCCCAGGAGCUCCAGGAGCUAGCUCUAGACGCUCUCGCGGCAUUGCUAGCCUAUGAUCCCAGCCAUGGUGAUCUUCUCCCUGGCUACAAGAGCGUCAUCUAUGGAUUGUUCCAACUCCUCCGUACCUGCCAAGCUGAUCCACUAGGAAGCAAAGUGGCAGUAGUGCUGGAUCUUCUCUGCCGCAAGAAUCGCCAGUACCUUGAAACGCUACUCGAUGGAAGCGGCAGUAGCAGUGACGACGUUAUAGCAGUUCUCAUGAGCGCGCUCUCCUUUGGUUUGGAUAAUCACGAUGGCGAGAGGAGCAAGCAUGCAAUGUCGAUUCUGUGCAGCCUCCACGACCAGAAGCUGUUGAGCGAGGAGCAGGAGAAAGCGCUGGACAUCGCAAAGAUCGUGGACAUGGUGACCACUAUGACGAACUCAACACCAAGUGACCAUGGCUUGACUGGGGAGAGCUCGACCACCCAACCCAUGGAAGGGAUUGAUGUGGCAUUAGAAGUAGCCGAGCUUUGGGGUUUAGCUGCGCGGCCAUCACAAUCCUCAUCAGCUGUUCCGACGGCAUCACGGAUUCACAAUCAACCAAGGUAGGAUUUGGCAGAUGAUCUCUUGGAGAAGAGCACGCCAGUGCUGCAUUGGCAAGAUCCCCCAAAUUCCCCGCAGAGGGAAACUAAACAGAUCAGGAUUCCAGAGAUGCCGCAGCACAGCAUUCAAUUCUAAAUCUUGCUAAAUCAAAACUAAUAUAUUCCCAAUUGUUUGAAGCUUUGGCACGACUACAAGUCCAGUCAAACACACAAGUCUAAGAGAAACGUCAAUGCAGCUUUAGAAAAUUCUCUCAUUCGGAUUCUCUUUUCUGAUUGCCACGCCACUGACUAUUCCUGCUCGAACUGGAGCUUUUCUGUUGACGUACUAAAGAUCCCGCUCUACGCGGGAAUGGCGCAAGCAAGGAGGACGGAUCCCGGAACUCGGAGUUUGAAUAGUCGCAGGACGAUCAUCUUCCUCUGUCUGCCAGGAAGAAAGGUGAUCAAUGUACCUGAAAGAUUUUCUAGCAAAUCGUUUUGUGUUCGCUUGAAAUGUUUUCCAUUGAGAGUCAGGCCCCAGAAAAGUUGAAGAAUGUACUGCUGUGAAAGUUAUGGAUGGAUUCAGCAGGUACGCAUGGGUCUGUUUUCUUGGCUCAACGGCCACUAGCCGUUCCAGAGCGUCUUUGGCUGAUCAUUACAUUGCCAGCAAUGAGCUUUUUCUAAUCUAUCAUUCUCUCUGGCUGUUACUUAACGAAGAUGUUGCAGGCUCGCGCUUUCGGCAGCGAUGCUUGGUAAGCUUUCAUCUUUCGAGGCGUCGAGUAUUGUAUUCCAGGCAUGUCCUCAAAGACGUUGUCGAGAUGCCCGACGNNNNNNNNNNNNNNNNNNNNNNNNNNNNNNNNNNNNNNNNNNNNNNNNNNNNNNNNNNNNNNNNNNNNNNNNNNNNNNNNNNNNNNNNNNNNNNNNNNNNGGCCAGCAUGAGCUUUUUCUAAUCUAUCAUUCUCGCUGGCUGCUACUUAACGAAGAUGUUGCAGGCUCGCGCUUGUGGCAGCGAUGCUCGGUAAGCUUUCAUCUUUUGAGGCGCCAAGUAUUGUAUUCCAGGCAUGUCCUCAAAGACGUGGUCGAGAUGCCCGUUCUGGCAUACGUGGAGAGCAUCAUGACACCAUAAAACCCUAUGCAAUUUAUAAAGCUGAUAAACCCUUUUAUAUUGAUCUCUUUUAAGCUCCUUGAGAAUAUUCCUAUUUAAUUGGGUUCAGCCCCACACCUUUAUUCUAUAUACUGAGAAGAGUGUUGUUCAAUUCACAAAACUUACCUGCAGCUUUAAGUGAUUCAAUAUUCCCGCUUCGAUGGUGUGCAAAACGCUCUACUUACCACCUGACACGAGCCAUCAGGCCCGCUGCCGACAUUAUCCGGCAGGAGAAGGAGCGCUCUGAGAAAGAUGCAGCACCACUCUAAGCUACCAGCCCUAGGCAGCAGGUUGCCGGCGACAUCAAGCGCUCGGCUGCAGAGUCAGUCCUGCCUCAGACUGGGUGUUGCUGAGCUAGAGAGUGGACGAUGUGCCUGGACGUGGUUGAAUUGGUGAUAAGCUUGACUUGACUGCCACCAGACCCGUUGUCCCUGCCUUGAGCUCCUUGAGCUUGAGAGCUUUGUACUUCAUGCAAGUGCGGCAACCAUGCGUCGAAUGAUGCUCUCGCCUUUCCUGGUUGCGGACACCACUCGCGUAAAUUCCUGCGACCUGCCAGCUUGUUCACCGGGCCCCCGGUGGAAGUGGCAGCCGUGCACGGCCACACAACCCUUGUCUCGCCAGCUUCGGAAUGCGGCAAGUAGUCGAUCUAGCUUUCACGAGAGAUCAGUUAGCAAUUGCGUGAGAACAAAACGAACUAUCCCACUCUACCUGAACGAUUUGCAUCUCCUUGGUGCUAGAUGUUUUUCUCGGAGAUUAAGUAGCUGGGAUCGGCAGUUUCAACUCCCUGUCAAUUCAAACUUUGCAGUUAACAAGACAAGAGAAAGCGUUCAAAGGAGUCUUAUCCAUGACGACGCGUGCCAACCGCGGUGAGGCCCAGUGGCACCGUCCAUGAUGCUGGCUUCCAUCUAGUUGUCAACACCGAUCAUCUCGUUGUCCUCCAUUGCACGCACCUGUAGAAAGGUGGCGUGGCGAUCGAUUUUCACGUAAAAAAAGCCUCGGCCAAGGGAAGGAUCGCAAUGAACUUCAACACAACCGGCAUGUUUUGAGCCAGUGCGGAUCACACAGGGCACCUCGAGGUCGGGGUGAAAGAAACUACAUCCUAGGAGACUAUGGCAGUGGCACGAAUAAAAGAUGACCACUCAGGAAGAAGAAGAGGAAGAUCUCACGGUCUUCUCAAGCAAUGCCAAGAGGUAGACUUCGUGGUUCUUGAGCCGUUGAACUUGGUGUAUCCCGGCCCUCCGGCAUACAGGGUGUGGAGCUGGUCACAUAUGGGAUGCGUUUUUGCAGAGGGAAGUUGAGAAUGCGUGAUCUCCUCAACCGGAUGGCUUGCCAGCACACUUAGUUUUGAUUCAUGGGAAGAACUCCACACGUAAAAUGGAGAGAUGAUCCACGAUAAAAGAAAGAGGCCAGUCCAAGCAUGUAAGUGUCACCAUAAGGCUACUGCCUUGCCUCCUCAAUGCAAGCUGAUGCAGCGAACAGCCAAAAUCGUUCGCAUAAAUAGCUGCAAGCACUCAAAUAAAAAGAUUAAAGCAGAAGGCAAAUUAGCUGCUAGCUCUUGUUUGCUUCCAGAAAAUCCUGGAGCCUUGAAAAGGACCGGAAGGCCUCGUGAUCAUGAAGAAUAGAUAAUGAUUACACUCAAUGCGUUAAAAGGAAAUGGCAAUUUGAGAAUAAAAGAGCAUAUUUGGGCGGGAAAGCAGCCAAGUGCGAUGGCGGAGAAGGAGAAGGCGAUGAACAAAAAGGCUACACAUCACGUUCAUGAAGGAGAAGCAGUUGGAUCAUAACCUUAAGAUCUACAGGGAGGUACAAAAAUCUGUUUCUUUGCUUUGAAUGAAUUCUUUUGUUGCACAGAAGAAUUCCCUUGCUCCUCCACCUCCUCCUCCUCCUCAGGAGCAUGACUAUCCAAAGCCAGAGGCGGAGACGAAGCCCGAGGCAGAGGAAGAGGCAGAGGCAGAAUAGAAGCCCAUUGCCACGAUUCAUAUCUUGCUCACAAGUAUAUUAUAUUUUAAGUAGCCACUAUUCAAUGUGAAUUGAACCCAUACUAUUUGCUCCAAUACCAUAUAUACCACACUUAUUUUAUCCUCAUUUACCCUUUAAAGUUCUAAGGAUCCAUAGUGACAAUAUAUUUAAAUAUCAUCCCAUAAUCACAUGUGUUAUAUAAUUUAAAACCUUUUCAAUACUACUUGAAGUUGAACUUUUUGAGAAGUCACCUAGCCUAGUACUAUUUAGUCAAAUAUAUAUGUGAAGAUCAAUUUUUCAACUAGUUUAGGCAAAGACUGAUAAAGGAUCUAGCAAUACCAACCUUUUGUUGUAGUGCACCCUAUCUCUUCCCCCUUAAACCAAUUGGAUAGGAAGGAUUGUUAAAACUAAGUUACUAUAAAGACUAGCAUCCAAGAAAGUUCAAGUUUGCAUAUGCAUAUUAUGGGGUGAUGGAUCCCAACAAAGUGAACCUAGUGAAGGAAUUGAAGCGUAUUUAAGUAUUGUGAUAUAUUACAUUGACAUCUUCUUGUCCCCAACUCGAAGGCUAUAUCAAAGCUGUUGCAGAAACAUCUUUCUUCUUCAAGUUUACUUUGUUUAUACUUAGAGACUAAUUUCAAUUCUUUUUUGCGUAUAGGCUGUGACAACUUUGGAUAUUGCAAGACAAGGCUUGCAAUCUGAAGGACAACUUCAUUUCAAAUGAGAUUUUUCCGGAUAUUUAGAUUAGUUGCCACUACAACGUUCUCCUUAUCAAGUUAUUCAGAGAUAAGUAUUGAAAACACCCCAUUCCUAUAGAUUGAGACAAGAUUAGACCAUUGUGAGUCACUUUUUAGCAAAAUUGGUGGUAUGGUGAGAAAUGAGUGAAUUUAUGACUCAUUUGAUUUGCUGGAUAGUGCUGGUUCCAUAAACCAAAUUGCUGAGAUGAAGGCUAUAUCAAUUUUAAAGUUUCCAGCUUCACAUAAGAAACAAGAAUCUAUAUGGGAAUAUUUAACAAAGACUUGAGAAGCAACAUGGAGGAACAGUUGCAUUAAAGCUGACUGACUAUACAGGUAUGUCUUUGUUAAAUAUUCUUUAAUCUUACUCUCUUUCUCAAGUAUAGAAACAGAUUUGAAAAAUAUACAAGCUCUUCAAGCUGGCUUGCUUGAGGCGAAAGGUUUACUCUAAGUGGAGCAAACUUUGGAAAUAUAAGGAUUUUUUUCACAAAAAGGCAGCAAAAGCGUUAGAAGCUAUGAAUUGAACAAGUGGUGAGGGAGAUGUUUCAAAAGAGGUGGAAAGCAGUAUCACUUAUGAUGAUGAAGAGCUAGCAGCAUUGUUGGAACUACAACAUACUUUUGAUAGUAUGAUUGAUGAAGAAGAAACACUACCUCAACCACAAAUGCCACAGCAGGAAAGCUUCAAGCUGUUUGUGGAUUGAUGGUGGAUACAAUCUUAAAUUUUUCUUUCCUUGGGUUGCUCUGUUGCCAAAAGCUGAAAACUCUCUAGCCGAGGUUGUGAGGGUCGGUAUUCAUGGCGAUGCCGUUUAUGGCAAGUUGGAAGAUUUCUGGACUUCUUGCAAUGCAAGCAAUGCUGGAAACUGCAGGUAUGUGUCAAGACAAAGUUUGUCAAGGCCAACAGUGUCCAUUCCAGGCGGAUUUUCAUGGAGACAUUCAAGACAAUGUAUGGCUUAAACAAAGACCAACUGGAGCUUCCAACGAUGCCAUUUGGCGUCUGGUCUGGUAAGCAUUGCUGGGCUAUGUCUACCUCAUCUUUCGUGGAGUUCGUCAUGUUUUCCUGGUCUGUUGCAGUUUGUUGCACAUACUCCAACUUAACUGGGUAUCUUGUCCUAGGAUGUUCGUGGACGCUCUCGAUUCUCAGCUCUACGUUGACAAUCACGAUCAUGGAAACUGUCCUCUUGCAACCACACAUGGUACAACCUCGAAUUCUUGUGGCUGUGAGUUCUAAAUACUAAAUCUCUUAGGCUCAACACUGCUAUUGCUGUCUACUUGAGGUCCUGGUGAACGUUUGGGCGUAUCACAGUGCCAGGAGACUCAUCUACGUGGAUCCUGAGACGGGUAUAAUGAUGGAGCAGAAUGCUCUCGAGAGCCGACGCAGGCAGAUGAAAGUGAAGUGGUUCAGCUUUAGCGUGCUCAAGGGAAUGGAUGGCCGAGAAAGUUGACGACGAGCAUCCUACGUACCGGUGGCUCUGGCCACACACGGGAGAAGUGUUCUGGCAGGGAAUUCUGGAGAGGGAGAGGCAGGAGAGAUACAACAUGAAGUUGGAAAGGAAGCGCAGGAACAAGGAGAGGCUGGCUAGAAUGCGUAGCCGUUACAAGCAGAAGUCUCUGGGCCGCUAUGUGAAGUCACCACCGGAAGAGACGGAGUAAGAUCAAGCUGUGAAUACUGCUGCUCGGUGAACAGAUUCUUGGGUGAUUGUUUUCAGAGCCAGGAGAGUUCUUUCGACGCGAAUUGUAGUGUACGACUAUCAAGAGGUAAACUUUUUAGUGUACAUAUUCAGUGUCAUUGCUACUAAUGAGAUUUUCCAGCGUGAUGAUUCUUGGAAGCUGCAAAUGACCUAGCGCUGAAGGAUCCGAUCAAAACACGUUUGAGUGAAGAACAGGCAGGAAGCUAGCUCCAGCAAAACAGGAAAAUUGAUCUAUUAUGGGUGCUGUGUUGCUCGCAACUCUGGAGCAGUUCACCACGAACUUGGGAAAGUUUAUGUUCCUGUGGGCGACUGUGGUUCUCCUGGGGGGAUUCGUGAACGAUCUGAAAACCUUGGACUUCUACUACGUCAUUCUCCUGCUCGUUAGCUAUGGCAUCAGGGGCUUCCGAUUUCUCAACUUGUCCCAAGGCUUAAAGAAACGAAAGGUGAAUUCCCGCCUGAUCCUACUCGUCAUCGCCCUCUUUCCCCUCAUCGCCCUCUUUGGCCCCUUGGGCGGCCCAGUAUUGUUCUUGCAAUGCCGCUGCUUCUCUUGCUGCUGCCUCUCAGAUUUUUGUACAAUGCUCGCUCCGGGCGCUCAUUCGUCAUCGUCUACAACAUGGCCUACAAUACUGAGAUCGUUCUGGCUCUCGUCAGCCUCAGAGCCACGAUCGUCUGGCUACCACAGCACCACAAUUAUCCAAAGUUCAACGAGCUCGUCGCAAUGAUCAGCUUCUCCUCGAUCGUCAUCGCCGAGUCGAGCUUGUUCCUGUGCAUCCACGGCUGCUGGGAGAUCAUAUCAGUGAGGUACAAGAAGGCGAAGAAGAACAGGGACCGACCGAGAUUUCUCCUGGAAACUAAGUCCAAGUUCUUCGUUGCCGUGUACGAGACGACGUUGAGAGAUGGAGCCAUCAAGGGGCUAAGGAUGAACUUGGUCGACUACGUCGCGAACGAGUUCUUGGAAUCGAGAGGCAACCGGGAGCUGAGGAAGAGCUUGCUGAUGCUGGAUGCGGUGUGCCACUGGGAAGAAGAAGAUCAGAGAAAGCAAAGUGGGAAGCUCCUCUUGGCAUCUAAGCGUCAAGUUGUGGAGCGGCUGUUCGAGUGCAUGAGCCACAAGUACUAUCUCAUCUACCGGCGAGCGGCGAUUUCUCUAGCGGCCGAGAUCUGCGAAGAUGAAAACGCCUUCUUAGCUGUGGCACACCUCGUCCAGGCCAGUGGUGAAGGCGUCUCGCUUCUGGUGAAAGCGCUGGAGCCGGAUACCAACAAGUCGGUGCUGGAGCUGCUAGGAAAGGUUGCGGCAUUUGGAGGGAUUGCCAAUGCCGAGCCGGGUGUGAUCGCGAACUUUGAUUUUGCUCGAGGGGAUACGCACAAGGAGUGGAAGGAUUCCCUGCGCUAUACCUUCAAUGGCGAUGGAGAUGAUCCAGCCAGGGUCGAUGUAGAGCCAGAGAUCCAGAUCUCCAGGCAGAAGAUCGCAGCGAAUUUGAGGACGCUACUCAGGAAGAAUCACGACUUGACAAGGUACCUCGCGAAUGCUCUCUUUUGUUCCUCCCAGGAGCUCCAGGAGCUAGCUCUAGACGCUCAUGGUGAUCUUCUCCCUGGCUACAAGAGCGUCAUCUAUGGAUUGUUCCACCUCCUCCGUACCUGCCAAGCUGAUCCACUAGGAAGCAAAGUGGCAGUAGUGCUGGAUCUUCUCUGCUGCAAGAAUCGCCAGUACCUGGAAACGCUACUCGAUGGAAGCGGCAGUAGCAGUGACGAUGUUAUAGCAGUUCUCAUGAGCGCGCUCUC
rnacentral:lncRNA from 1 species